rfam:Punica granatum cultivar Dabenzi scaffold1668, whole genome shotgun sequence.
AAAAUGGUCCUUUUAAGGACCAAAUUGUUGGCAAAAAAAUAGCUA